GUGUGAAAGGCGCGGGCUCAACCCGCGGACGGCACAUGAUACUGCGAGACUAGAGUAAUGGAGGGGGAACCGGAAUUCUCGGUGUAGCAGUGAAAUGCGUAGAUAUCGAGAGGAACACUCGUGGCGAAGGCGGGUUCCUGGACAUUAACUGACGCUGAGGCACGAAGGCCAGGGGAGCGAAAGGGAUUAGAUACCCCUGUAGUCCUGGCAGUAAACGGUGCACGCUUGGUGUGCGGGGAAUCGACCCCCUGCGUGCCGGAGCUAACGCGUUAAGCGUGCCGCCUGGGGAGUACGGUCGCAAGAUUAAAACUCAAAGAAAUUGACGGGGACCCGCACAAGCGGUGGAGUAUGUGGCUUAAUUCGAUGCAACGCGAAGAACCUUACCUGGGCUUGACAUGUAAUGAACAACAUGUGAAAGCAUGCGACUCUUCGGAGGCGUUACACAGGUGCUGCAUGGCCGUCGUCAGCUCGUGUCGUGAGAUGUUUGGUUAAGUCCAGCAACGAGCGCAACCCCUGUUGCCAGUUACCAGCACGUGAAGGUGGGGACUCUGGCGAGACUGCCCAGAUCAACUGGGAGGAAGGUGGGGACGACGUCAGGUCAGUAUGGCCCUUAUGCCCAGGGCUGCACACGUACUACAAUGCCCAGUACAGAGGGGGCCGAAGCCGCGAGGCGGAGGAAAUCCUAAAAACUGGGCCCAGUUCGGACUGUAGGCUGCAACCCGCCUACACGAAGCCGGAAUCGCUAGUAAUGGCGCAUCAGCUACGGCGCCGUGAAUACGUUCCCGGGUCUUGUACACACCGCCCGUCACAUCAUGGAAGCCGGUCGCACCCGAAGUAUCUGAAGCCAACCGCAAGGAGGCAGGGUCCUAAGGUGAGACUGGUAACUGGGAUGAAGUCGUAACAAGGUAGCCGUAGGGGAACCUGCGGCUG
rnacentral:rRNA from 1 species